rnacentral:lncRNA from 1 species
AUCGAAUCCUUAUCUCAUGCAUCAGAAAUGGAUCAUGUAUAGGCCCUUCUUCCCCUUUCUUUGGAAUCGAAUCAUCGAUGGCGAGUGGUACCUAUAAUAGAGUAGGCUCGUCAUCUCUUUCCUGUUGAUGCGACGGUAACUCGAGAUAGAAUAUCUUAAGAGAAGAAAGCUCUUUGCUUAGUUUUGGAUUGUACCGUAGAUAGCACUACCUUGAAUUCGCUAGUUGCGUGUACUUUUCUUUAUCAACUGCUUGCCGAGAUUUCUUUGGUGUUCGGUGGUGGGUUCAUAGUGUCUCGUCUUUCUUUAAAAUUUACAUCUUUCUCCCAUGCUUUACGUUGGUCAACAAUCAACCACAGUUUUCGUUUAGUUCAUCACUAAAAGUAC